UUACCACGUAGCAUGUCGACAAAGUAACUGAUAGUGAAAUGUCAAAGCAAGUGGUUAUCUUUGCUGAUAGGACUUGGGCAUCUAUUUCUUGGUGCUAAUCUGCACAAGCACAUGUAAAAUCCACAUCUCCACGGUCUAUCUUUUUGUCUGCUUCAUCUUUUUAGAGGAAUUCUCUUUGCGCAUCAGGAACAUGGAAGGGUACUUCAUUCUUUAUGUUUUAAAUAAUUAUUAUAAGAAAUGCAAAAUAAAAGACCCUAUAUGAUAUAGUUACCACCUAUCUACGAAUAAAUAUCACAUACAUGUGCAAUUUGCAUUCAGGAAAGCAUAAAGCAUUUACUGCUUAGUAGACUGCUAUUACCAACUUUUAUAACAAAGGGAAGAAUGUAGGUAGCUCACUUAAUUUAUUGUUGCAGAUCAAGCUGGCAUCUGUAAAAUUGGCUAUGAAAUAUAUGAAGAGAGUCUCUGCUGAGCUUGAGACAGGUGGUGGUGGGCCUGAAGAAGAAGAGCUUAUAGUUCAAGGAGUGAGAUUUGCAUUCCGAGUACAUCAGUUUGCUGGAGGGUUUGAUGUGGAUACAAUGAGGGCAUUUCAAGAAUUGAGAGACAAAGCGAGGUCAUGCCACGUUCAAUGUCACAAUCAGCCACAGAAAUUAUAUUGCAGGUCUGCAACAUGCUAAUGCUGGAGCAAACUCAGCUUCGGAGAAUUAGUUAAGCCCUUUUUCUGUAUUUUGUGAAUAGAAUGGCAAAUAGUAUUAGCCAUCGUUAAAGUAGUAGAACGCAUUCAUAAUUCAUGAUUAAUUCUUCCAUUCAUUACUGGAAAAACAAGAAUCCGGUUCCACUCUAGCACUUGUUGCUAUUCCGAAUUCA